UACGUAGGGCGCAAGCGUUGUCCGGAAUUAUUGGGCGUAAAGCAUGUGCAGACGGGUUGGUAAGUGGUGUAUGAAAGCGUCCGGCUUAACCGGGCAAGGGUAUGCCAGACUGCCAGUCUUGAGAAUGGGAGAGGGAUGUGGAAUUCCGGGUGUAGUGGUGAAAUGCGUAGAGAUCCGGAGGAACCCCAGAGGCGAAGGCGGCGUCCUGGCCCAUUUCUGACGUUCAGACAUGACAGCAUGGGGAGCGAACGGG
rnacentral:rRNA from 1 species